GCCCACACUAUAUUUAAUAUAAUUAAUGAAGAUUACAAUUAUUGCUUUAAAGCAUAAAAUUAUUAUUGUUUUUAAGCGAAAAAUUAAGAGGGCUUCUCGUUAAAAAAAAAAAAAGAUAGUAGUUUACCUCUUCACUGAAAAGAGAGUGUACAGAGGUAGAGUGAAGGGUCAAUUUGGAAUAAGUUUUACCUUGUUUACUAAUUAAGAAACCUGUCUUGGGCUGAGUUUAUGGUAUUCAGUUCAUAUCUGCCCAAAGCUCUUUUUCUCAAAGGUGUUACUCCAUUAUUUUUAGUUAUUUUUAAGAGUCACACUUUGGAAUUUUAAUUUGAGUAAAAU
rnacentral:lncRNA from 1 species